GGAUCAUUACCGAGAUAGGGCCUUUUUUUCGGGACCCGACCCUCCCACCCUUUGUGUAUAUACCUCUGUUGCUUCGGCGGCACCCGUGGCACACGGCGUUGCGAGACACGUCGAGCCCGGCCCGCCAGAGGCCCAUUCAAUUCUGACUGUUAAACAGUGAAGUCUGAGCACACUUUUGCAAAAUAAAAUUAAAACUUUCAACAACGGAUCUCUUGGUUCUGGCAUCGAUGAAGAACGCAGCGAAAUGCGAUAAGUAAUGUGAAUUGCAGAAUUCAGUGAAUCAUCGAAUCUUUGAACGCACAUUGCGCCCUCUGGUAUUCCGGGGGGCAUGCCUGUUCGAGCGUCAUUACACCUCUCAAGCUCUGCUUGGUAUUGGGCUUGCGUCCCCUGUGGACGGGCCUGAAAAUCAGUGGCAGUUCAGCCGGUGCUCAAGCGUACUAAAUAUCAUAUCCCGCUUUGGAGUCACCGGGUGGACCCGCCAGACAACCCUUUUAUAUUUCAAUGGUUGACCUCGGAUCAGGUAGGGAUACCCGCU
rnacentral:rRNA from 1 species